GGGGAUGUAGCUCAGUUGGUGGAGUGUUUGCCUAGCACCCAGGAAGCCCUGGGUUCAAUCCCCAGCACCCAUA
rnacentral:tRNA from 1 species